rnacentral:lncRNA from 1 species
CUAAAUAUCUGUAGUAGGCUAAGGAAUGUGUUCUUAAAAGAGAAUUUGUGAAGGAUCUAUUUUGCUUACUCAAGGAUCUCAUUUGCUGGGACACUUGUGUAGUGAAAGCAAAAGAACCAGGUGUAAGUGGAAAAACCCUUAGUCACUAAGGGUUGUUUGGGCUUCUCAGUGCUGAAAUUCAGGGGUGGCUGGUUUCCUCUGCCACGACGGAUCCUGGCCUGAUUUGCCUGGCUGUUUUGACAUUUUGUAGACCCAACAUAUAGAAGGACACCCGAGGGGAGUUUCGUACUCAAGUGGUCGCUAUUCUCCUCACACGUACCUUGGAGCGUCUUCGCAAGGUGUGAGGUUGGGAAGGCUGGGACACAUUCAUGGGGAUGUAGGAAAAAGCAGUGUGUCGGGAGUGCUUUUAGUUUCCAAUAGGGAGAGUCACUUUAAAGCUUUAUUUGUCUCUCAUGCCUCAGCUAACCCCAAGAGAAAAGCUUAGCUCAGGACAGGAAGCUCAGAGCGCCCAAAAGGAUGACAACACAACUCAGGGCUAUUUAUGUCUGCCUCUUACAUGUCCCUCUGUGCCAUUACCCCAAGGCUGAGGUGUGCUGGCGCUGUAGGGAUCCUGACUAUACCAUCAUUCCCUCGGAAACCAACAGGCCGACAUGCUGCACAGGCCAGGCCCACUGCAACCCGACCCAUGAGACCCAUGCUUUUCCCAGGCUACCUCCCUGCCCCUGGAGUUACAGGUUUGGAAUAUUCUGCAUGGACAGGGAGCUGGUGGCUGACAAUGAAUGGUUUUGCAGAGGUCUUCAGAGGCCUCAGUGGCUGACUUUCUGUGUGCCCGACCAGUUUGUCCUCUCGUCAGGACACGUCAAAACUUGCAGAGACCCUGGCAGGCACGGCUCCCAACUCUUCAUUGGACAAAAGAACAACCUAAGACUCAGAGCUGAGAAGUGAUUUUGCCAGGGUCACACAGCCAGCUUGGGGCAGAAUCGGGAUUCAGGGACCUGUCUCCUACUUCUAAUGUGUCCUCUCUCCAUUACACCAGACACGGCGAGAACACGGAGAACCUAAAAGAAGAAAGAAAAAAACAGCUUCUUGUUGAAUAUCUUGAGCUUCUGGUUUUCAAGGACAGCUUUAUGAUUAAUAGCAAUGAUGCCUCAAAAGCUAUGGCAGCUAGCUUGAAUGAACUUAUGUAAUAAACAUUUAUCACAGAACAUGUGUCAUCAAACACCUGCUAGAUCUGAGCGUUGGCACCAAAGCUGCUUUCAUUGUCAAAGAAAAGAGGGGGAAAAGGAACUUGGCUGAACAAAGCUGGCAGACUUUUUACUAGAAAAUUCAGAGGUAAUUUCUGGAGGAGCAGGAACACAUUUCCAAGGCUCUUAAAAUGUGUUUAAAUGUGAUUGGGUGAAUUUAGUAGUUAAAAACUUGAAGGAUGUUGAGGACCAUUUGGUGCCUAAGCCCUCUUCCAGAUAGGUCCCUUCUGUCUGCCUUGGUCACAGAGUCCUGGAAGCCUCAAGGUGGGC